CACGUAGGAAGCGAGCGUUAUCCGGAUUUAUUGGGCGUAAAGCGCGUGCAGGCGGUCUGGAAAGUUGGAUGUGAAAGCUCCCGGCUAAACUGGGAGAGGUCGUUCAAUACUACCAGACUAGAGGAUGAGAGAGGGAGGUGGAAUUCCGUGUGUAGUGGUGAAAUGCGUAGAUAUACGGAGGAACACCAGUGGCGAAAGCGACCUCCUGGCUCAUAACUGACGCUCAGACGCGAAAGCUAGGGUAGCAAACGGGAUUAGAGACCCCGGUAGUCCUAGCCGUAAACGAUGUAGACUAGGUGUGGGUGAUGUAAAAGUCAUUCGUACCGAAGCAAACGCGAUAAGUCUACCGCCUGGGAAGUACGGCCGCAAGGUUAAA
rnacentral:rRNA from 1 species